ensembl:lncRNA
AGUCAGAAAUAUUAUAAUUCUGAUGAAAUCUCACAGUACUGAUACAUGUGAGAUUUCAUCAGAAUUGUGAACAUCACAGCAGAUGCCUUUGUGUGAAAGUAACUGAGAAUAAAACACAGAAAAACAUGAAGGAGAUUUUUCUGGCCUGACUUUUUAUAGCAGAUAACCUUAAAAAUAUUCUGCAAUGUUCUGCAUAUAAAGUAUAUAAAGUUUAAAUUUCUUCAGUAUUGAACAGCAGAAAAAAUAGGCUUUCUUGUCCGAGGUCGUUUACGUGAAGAAAAGAAAAAGACAGCGGCCGACAGCGCUGUAAACAAUGGUAGGCUGGUGGUUAAUAAGCGGAUGAAUAAUGCAGAAAACAGAGAUUUGAGACAGGAAACUGUUCUUGAAGUACAGAGAGAGAGAGAGAGAGCUGUGCAUGAAGUGUGAUUUUAAUAGUCGUGGAAGCAAAACUGCAAAACGCAUGACAACAUUGAUCAAACGUGAAGCUCAGUUUGCUGCUUCUUUUGCUGCUGGCUCAGUGAAUUUUGGUUGGAGAGAGACAAAACCUGCAGCUCAGAAUCAGCGCAAAAAGACAUAAACACAGCGUGGACCCGACGCAUCAGAAUCGCUGAGCUCCGACAGCGUGUCCGUGUUUGGGCCGUCGGGUGAGAAAGCCGAGAAAGACAAAGCUGAUUCUGAUGCGUCGGGUCCGCUCUGUGUUUACGUCUUUGUGUGGAAUCCGUGUACCUGCUCUCAUUUGCUGUUUGGUGGUUGUUGAAAUAGUUUUGUGAGCUUUAAUCUGAGAAUCUGCCGUUUCUGGCAAAACACAGUUAUAUUUAAAAGUCAAUUCAGGAUUUAAUGAAUCGAUAUCGCUUUAUUCAAGCUACUCACCUCCCUCUUCCACCUGCACUUUCAACUGGACCACGGCCAAUCAGAGAGGUCCCGCCCCUUACUAUCUCUGAUUGGUUUAGUCCACGAUAGGGCAUAAUGUGUGUCUGUUGUUGACCACACGGAGAGUUGCAGAGAUUUUUUUUGUUUUUUUGUUACCGGAACAGUUGGUUGCACAGAUGCGACCAAAUAUUUUUUUUAGUCGCACAACUGAAAAAUUUGGUCACACUCUAUAGCCCUGCUUUAAUUCUGUUAGCAAGUACUAAAGCCAUAAUCUCAUAGUCAUUAUUGAGCAGACAGAUGGGUCUCCAAUUAUCAAUAAGAAGUAAGUCUUUGUUUGGCUUUGGAAUAAGUGUUAUGAGACCCUGAGUAAGAGUAGGAGGGAGGGUGUUAUUCUCUAUACUUUCUAUGAAAACCUGCAGUAAGAACGGAGCACUUCCUCUCCAUGGCCUUAUCAACAUCCAAUCUCCAGACUUCAGACUCUGCUCCUGAGGAGAAACAGAAUCAUCUGGCAGAUCAUUUGUUCUCAUGACUUCUUUACUUUUAAACAUUUUGAGCAUCCAAUCUGCUAAUGUGCUCUCUCUUCUGCGUUUCUAUCAUCACUACAGAAGACUAAAACUCUAAAUACUCUACCAUAUAUAAUCUCAAAGAGUCAGACCGUUCUCUGUUGGAGUAAUCCUCAUGUACAUCUUAACUAGUUCUAUACAGUCUAACCAUGUCCUGCCUGUCUCUUCCAUUGACUUCCUAAGUCUUAGCUUUACUGUGCCGUUAGUUCUCUUUGUGGGUGAUAUGAACAAUGAUGUUUUAGUGUUAUCCCUAGAUGCUGUGGCAUUAAUCCAAUCACUUCAUUUACAAAGUGUGGACCAUCAUCACUAUAAAUAGUCUCUGGAAUCCCGUGUUCCGAGAUGAUAUUCUUACAUAUUGCUUUGGCAACCGAAAUGGCAUCUGCUUCCCUAGUUGAUUGAUUGAUUGAUAUACCUUUAUUAGUCCUAGAGCUGGGCGAUAUAUCGAGUUUUUUAAAAAAAAUAUCGAUAUAUUUUUAUACGAGAUAUAAGAUGUGACAAUGGCUGUGUCCGAAUUCAGGGGAAGGAUGCUCAUAAGGACACUACCUACCUACGUCACAAGGUAGUGUCCUUAGACGGACGGGUAGUCAGGAAGUGAGCGGCUUGGACAGCCCCCUUUUUUUCUCCAUAGAAACUUUAUUGAACAAACAAUGAGUAUCCAACAUAACAGAUGGGCUGUGGACAGCCUCCUAGCCUGCAACUCCGCCCUUACUUGCGUGUUUUUCCGGACGCUAGCGCCACAGCGCGAAAACUUUAAAAUGGACCCAGAAAUGUCGCUCUGUUGUUUGGACAAUUUUAAUUUUUGAGGAGCUAGAAAAACCUUAUCGUCGUCGCCCGCACGUUUUGUACCUUAGGCUCAUCAGAGACAAACAUGUCCAGGUAAAAUAAUUUCCUUUAAUCUACACGCAUUUAGGAAUUACUUAGCUAAUUACACGGAUAAUUGAAAUAUUGCCAGCGUUGUGCCAAAAAAGUGUUCGCCUGCCAAAACUGAUUUCCAAUGUUUCCGAGUGUAAUAUGUGUAAUAUCUUUAUGUAUGUUGGUAAAUAGACUUCGGUGAACAUGGUUUACAAAGGGGUUUUAUAUAUACAAUAAUUACCUGUUGUUAAAGUAUCUUUAUAACUCUGGUUAUAAUGUAGGUACAAUCGAUAUAUUUGUUGCGCUGUCUGCUGUCCUCUUGGCCAGAUUACUCUUAAAAAAUAAAUUUCUAAUGUCAAUAAGAUUUUUUUUUUUUUAACUGGAUGAAUAAAGGAUAUAUAAAAGUCACUGCCAAAAACUGAUUGCAGCUUCUACCUUGUUACAGGAAUGUUGCUGGUGGCUCAAAGUGACUUGAUAUCACCAAUGAGGGACACAUUUGACAUGUUUCACAUAUUAUAGACCAACAAGUUAUUCAUAGCAGGUUAAAUACGAGCAAUCAGUUUAGGGCAAAAACCGGAAAUCGUUUUUUGGCAGACGAUCAUUUUUUUGGCACAACAUCGGUCAUUCUCACACAUGUACUGUAUCAUAUAAAAUAUAUAAACUAAAUAUCUUUGAAACGUAUAGAAUCUAAUCUUUUGUUUGUUUGUUUUUUUACAUAGCACUUUAUCAAACUGUUGUCUGCUACAGAGUUACAAGUAUUAUACUAAUAAUAUAGCAUCCACCAUCUCCUGCUUGCAUAUUUCUGUAAACAUCUUAGUGGUGUGGCAGCCACGAGUGAGCCCUGCAAACCCUGUGGAUGGACGAUGCAGUGGACAGUGGGAGGAAGCAUCCUAAAGCUCUCUUUGCAGACCACCCUGUGUGAUUCUCCACUUGCCCACCAGAAAAGACAAACCGCAGGUCUCAGUUGCAGCAGCUCAUCCACGUCUGAUCUUGCUCGGGCAGAUUCAGCAACACUGCUGAAAAAAAAAAAAAAAAAAAAAAAAAAAACACUGCCAGAGACUUCCUGUAAUCUAUUACAGUUGUUAAAGAAACGGUCCAGGAACAGGUCACUCAGGUUGAUCCUGUGUGAACAACUGAAAAUAUUGUUUUUUAUCUUUACAUACUGUGUAUUUGAAAUAUUCUUGUUUAAUUGUUAUUGUUAUUUACUUUAUUGCUAUCAAAUAAAUAUCCAAGUAAUAUUGUUCAAAGUUAGCGUUAUGUUCAUACGUGUUACAAAUGCCUGUAAAUCAAAUUGAGUUCAGUGACAAUUACUGUUUGUUUGAAUCAAUUUAUUAAUAACAUAAAACCUUUAAACUAAUGCAACACAUAUAACAAUGUAACAAAUAUAUUCAAAUAAAUAAAUUUCUCAAUACAUAACUCAUUUGGGAACUAAUCUUUCUAGAAGUGAAAACAGUCUGUCCAUCCUCUCCCUGCUCUCCUCUCCUCAGCCUCUCUUUGCUGCCUCAUGUCCUCUCUGAUGAGGUCUAGCAGCUCAUCAUCCCCGUCUCUUUUCCUCUUUCUCCCUGUCGUAGGUGGCUGAGUCGCUUCGUCAUCGCUGUCCAGUGGGCUUCCCACUGACCCCCUCUCCUGAGCCUGGAUACUUGCAAUCCUAAAGGCAGAGGAAAUCAAAAAUGACAGCAGGCAAAUAAAAACACCACAACAACUCUUAGUAAUUGCACAUUUAUUAACUUGUGUUCUUAAGAAUUAUCUUCUUGAUAACACACAUAUGUACUUUGUAUUCUUUAAAGUUAUCUCGUGUCUUCUGGCCUGCAAGGGGGUGACUUUCCCCUGCAGGCCCAUCUUCUCCAGAAUUGUCCUGAUCACACACAACAAAUAAGAGAAGAAAGGACACCAUGGCAACUAUGUUAAUCCCUAAGCCCAAAAGUUUUCACAGCAGAACACCAGAGGAACACCGUCUGGACAUCACAGGUUCUGUACAGCAGCGGUCCGUGAGUCGUUUGGUACCGGGCCACAGAGUUAAGGCUCCGGUGUGAAAUUUAUGGUUUUCAGGGGUUUUAUCAUUAACUCGGUUUCCCUGAGUCUUUCCCUUGUUGUAGUGGUGUGUCUUAUUUUGAAAGAAAUAUUUACACGUUACCAUAGCGACCAGAAAGCAUUAAGCGGCAGAGAGGAGGAUGUUACUGUCAAUAUUGGCGCAUUUUCAGGAGGACGCUGCUAAUAAAGUUACACAAUUACACAGUACAUUCACGUUUAUUAUUAUAUUUACAAAAUACCACAGUUUUUGUCUU